GAUGGACCCGCGGUGCAUUAGCUAGUUGGUGAGGUAACGGCUCACCAAGGCAACGAUGCAUAGCCGACCUGAGAGGGUGAUCGGCCACACUGGGACUGAGACACGGCCCAGACUCCUACGGGAGGCAGCAGUAGGGAAUCUUCGGCAAUGGACGAAAGUCUGACCGAGCAACGCCGCGUGAGUGAAGAAGGUUUUCGGAUCGUAAAACUCUGUUGUUAGAGAAGAACAAGGAUGAGAGUAAAACGUUCAUCCCUUGACGGUAUCUAACCAGAAAGCCACGGCUAACUACGUGCCAGCAGCCGCGGUAAUACGUAGGUGGCAAGCGUUGUCCGGAUUUAUUGGGCGUAAAGCGAGCGCAGGCGGUUUCUUAAGUCUGAUGUGAAAGCCCCCGGCUCAACCGGGGAGGGUCAUUGGAAACUGGGAGACUUGAGUGCAGAAGAGGAGAGUGGAAUUCCAUGUGUAGCGGUGAAAUGCGUAGAUAUAUGGAGGAACACCAGUGGCGAAGGCGGCUCUCUGGUCUGUAACUGACGCUGAGGCUCGAAAGCGUGGGGAGCGAACAGGAUUAGAUACCCUGGUAGUCCACGCC
rnacentral:rRNA from 1 species